GGGACAAGUACCCAAGGACAACAGAUGGUGAGGACACCUGAGAAGACCCUAUCUGACCUGCCCACCCCCAGCCCCAUCAAACAACAUGCUCCUGAUCUAGUUUCACAGCACACAUCCAAAUUUAACAAUUCAGAGAAGAGUUGAAUUUCUGCAGCUGCUGGAGCACACUGGAAUAUCAAGUUAAAACAGCUUCCCAGGAGUGAACAGAAAAGAGACACCAGGAAUGUGUGAGCAUAGAGAAAAUCCAUGUGAGGACACAGCAAGAAGAUAGCCAUCUACAAGCCAAAGAGAGAAGCCUCAGAAGAAACCAACCCA